UUGUAAUUUGUAGAAGGUGCCUCGGGAGCGACGACGGUGCAAGUUUCCUGGAACGGAGCGUCGAAGAGGGUGAGAAUCCCGUCUGUCGCCGAACGUCAAACCCGCGUGAGGCCCUUUCGAAGAGUCGAGUUGUUUGGGAAUGCAGCUCUAAGACGGUGGUAAGUUCCAUCUAAAGCUAAAUAUCCGCCAGAAACCGAUAGCGCACAAGUAGAGUGAUCGAAAGAUGAAAAGCACUUUGAAAAGAGAGUUAAACAGUACGUGAAAUUGUUGAAAGGGAAGCGCUUGCAACCAGACUCGUCCGCGCGUGCUCAGCCGCCCCUCGGUGCGGUGUACUCUCGUGCGGACGGGCCAGCAUCGGUUUCGGCGGCCGGACAAAGGCCCUGGGAACGUAGCUCCCUUCGGGGAGUGUUAUAGCCCGGGGUGUAAUGCGGCCAGCCGGGACCGAGGAUCGCGCUCUCGCUAGGAUGCUGGCGUAAUGGUUGCCAGCGACCCGUCUUGAAACACGGACCAAGGAGUCGACCAAACGCGCGAGUGUUUGGGUGUAAAGCCCACGACGCGCAAUGAAAGUGAACGUAGGUGGGAGCUUCGGCGCACCAUCGACCGAUCUUGAUGUCUUCGGAUGGAUUUGAGUACGAGCGCGCUUGGUCGGACCCGAAAGUCAGUGAUCUAUGCAUGAAUAGGGUGAAGCCAGAGGAAACUCUGGUGGAGGCUCGCAGCGGUUCUGACGUGCAAAUCGAUCGUCAAAUUUGUGCAUAGGGGCGAAAGACUAAUCGAACUGACUAGUAGCUGGUUCCUGUCGAAGUUUCCCUCAGGAUAGCAGCAACGAGCAACAGUCUCAUGAGGUAGAGCGAACGAUUAGAGGACUGGGGGACGUAACGUCCUUCACGKAUUCUCGAACUUCGAAUACGUGAGAAGUCCUUGUUACUUAAUUGAA
rnacentral:rRNA from 1 species